UGGGGAAUAUUGGACAAUGGGCGAAAGCCUGAUCCAGCCAUGCCGCGUGUGUGAAGAAGGUCUUCGGAUUGUAAAGCACUUUAAGUUGGGAGGAAGGGCAGUUACCUAAUACGUGAUUGUUUUGACGUUACCGACAGAAUAAGCACCGGCUAACUCUGUGCCAGCAGCCGCGGUAAUACAGAGGGUGCAAGCGUUAAUCGGAAUUACUGGACGUAAAGCGCGCGUAGGUGGUUUGUUAAGUUGGAUGUGAAAUCCCCGGGCUCAACCUGGGAACUGCAUUCAAAACUGACUGACUAGAGUAUGGUAGAGGGUGGUGGAAUUUCCUGUGUAGCGGUGAAAUGCGUAGAUAUAGGAAGGAACACCAGUGGCGAAGGCGACCACCUGGACUAAUACUGACACUGAGGUGCGAAAGCGUGGGGAGCAAACA
rnacentral:rRNA from 1 species